AUUGAACGCUGGCGGCAGGCCUAACACAUGCAAGUCGUACGAGUGGCGGACGGGUGAGUAAUGUCUGGGAAAAUGCCUGAUGGCGGGGGCUAAAUACUGGAAACGGUCGCUAAUAACGCAUACCAUCGGAUGUGCCGCGAUGGGAUUAGCUAUUAGGUGGGGUCAAGGCUCACAUAGGCAAAGAUACCUAGCUGGUCUGAGAGGAUGAACAGCCACACUGGAACUUAAACACGGUCCAGACUCUGACGGGAGGCAGCAGUGGGGAAUAUUGCACAAUGGGCGCAAGCCUGAUGCAGCCAUUCCGCGUGUAUGAAGAAGGCCUUCGGGUUGUAAAGCACUUUCAGCGAGGAGGCGUUACCCGAAGAAGAAGCACCGGCUAACUCCGUACCAGCAGCCGCUGUGAUUC
rnacentral:rRNA from 1 species